rnacentral:rRNA from 1 species
GGUCGGGGACAACCACUGAAAACGGUGGCUAUUUCCGGAUGUGCCGAGAGGUGAAAGAUUAAUUGCCUAGAGAUGAGCUCGCGUCUGAUUAGCUAGUUGGUAGUGCAAGAGACUACCAAGGCGACGAUCAGUAGCUGGUCUGAGAGGAUGAUCAGCCACACUGGGACUGAGACACGGCCCAGACUCCUACGGGAGGCAGCAGUGGGGAAUUUUCCGCAAUGGGCGAAAGCCUGACGGAGCAAUACCGCGUGAGGGAGGAAGGCUCUUGGGUUGAAGAGCUGUUUUCUCAGGGAAGAACAAAAUGACGGUACCUGAGGAAUAAGCAUCGGCUAACUCCGUGCCAGCAGCCGCGGUAAU